GACAUUACCAACUCCAAUGCAACUGGUCUCCAUCACUUCAAACCUUCUUUCUACGCUAUGCUGGACAUGUCUCUAUGACAUGUGAUAUGGCCCACAUACAUAUAGUUUAGCUGUUGGAUAUUUUUGGAUGGUAGGUAACUACCCACUAUCUUUGAUUAUGUCUAAGAUAGUUUUCUUGAUGGAAGAAAAUUGAUGAAAAUUUUUGGCUAUUUGAUAGGUUCUCUAGCCCAGUCUAUUUUUAAGCCUACGAUAUACUUACGUUUUAUGGCUUUUACAGAGGC
rnacentral:lncRNA from 1 species